GACGAACGCUGGCGGCGUGCCUAAUACAUGCAAGUAGAACGCUGAAGAGAGGAGCUUGCUCUUCUUGAAUGAGUUGCGAACGGGUGAGUAACGCGUAGGUAACCUGCCUUGUAGCGGGGGAUAACUAUUGGAAACGAUAGCUAAUACCGCAUAACAAUGGGUGACACAUGUCAUUUAUUUGAAAGGGGCAAUUGCUCCACUACAAGAUGGACCUGCGUUGUAUUAGCUAGUAGGUGAGGUAACGGCUCACCUAGGCGACGAUACAUAGCCGACCUGAGAGGGUGAUCGGCCACACUGGGACUGAGACACGGCCCAGACUCCUACGGGAGGCAGCAGUAGGGAAUCUUCGGCAAUGGGGGCAACCCUGACCGAGCAACGCCGCGUGAGUGAAGAAGGUUUUCGGAUCGUAAAGCUCUGUUGUAAGUCAAGAAUGAGUGUGAGAGUGGAAAGUUCACACUGUGACG
rnacentral:rRNA from 1 species